GCCUGGUGUGGUGGCCCACACCUGCAUUCCCAGCUACUGGGGAGGCUGAUGUGGGAGGAUUGCUUGAGCCCAGGGGUUCUGGGCUGCAGAGCACUAUGCAUCAAUGUGGGGGCCUCCUGGGGAGCAGGGGACAACUGGGUUGCCUGAGGAGGGGUGAACCAGCCAGGCCGGAGAUGGGUCAGGUCAAAACUCCUGUGCUGCUCAGUAGUGGGAUUGCACUUGUGAAUAGCUACUGCACUCCAGCCUGGGAAACGUAGCCAGACCCUGUCUCUU
ensembl:misc_RNA Metazoa_SRP Metazoan signal recognition particle RNA